rfam:Stegodyphus mimosarum contig106116, whole genome shotgun sequence.
UCCUUCGUGGUGUAGUGGUCAGCUCACUCGACCCGUAUUCGAGAGGUCCGUGGUUCGAGUCCCGGUGAGAGCA